rnacentral:lncRNA from 1 species
GAUGUGUAAAAUGAAAGGAACACAUACACUAUCUCAUUAGUUCUCCUAACGACCCUAGGAUGCGAGGUGUGAUUAUUGCUCUCUUUCACUGAGGCAGAAAUGGAGUCUCAGACAGCUAAAGCAACUUGCCUGAGGGUACAGAGCUGAUAAAUGCUGGAACUCUAAUUCCAGCUCUCGCCUGAGGCUGAUGGACCUCCAAGGCUGAACUCAGCCUCUGCAGUCGCUUCUCCAACCAGAUGCUGCAGGAGACUGAGCAUAGGCAGUGGAACCCGCUGUACUUCCUUUUCCUGCCCACCUGGUCUGCCGAAGCCAGUCCUUCCAUCCACAGUGCCUUCCCUCCCAGGAAGGAGUGACCGCACCACGGGCAGUGACGGCAGGACAGGUGCGGGAUGCAGCGGGAUUCAUGGUCUGCAAAACUGCAGGAGACGCACUUGCUCACAAGCAGGGAUACGAGGCCUUCAUUAGGUACUUUAUUUUUGGUUACGGGAAUCAAACUUGGGACCUUGUGCUUGCAAGGCAGGCAGUGGAAGCACUGAGCUAAA